AUGCUAUGGGAGAUGUAUGGAGCCUUAAACGGGUAGUGCUGAUUCAGGGGAGAAAUGUCCAAGCGACUCCUCCUUCCACGGUAAGCUAUGCCGGGGGUAGGGAAGAAGAAAUACAGUAAGGGGUGCAGAGACACACACGUGACACAACAUCUCAGUCAUAUGAGGUGAGAAGAAGUUGCUGCCUAACUGUGGGUCCUGGAGGCUGGGUGAGGCAGGGAUGGGGAAUGGCAGCAGGUGCAGGAGUCCAGCUGAGCUGGAGGACUUAAUUCUCACGUCCUGUGGAGGCAGGGUCACAGUGGUUGACAACAGUGUGCUUUGGAAUUAAUAGUGGGGAGGAUUUUGCAUAUUCCCGGCAUAUAGAUAUGGUGGAUGCUGGAGGAAGACCUGCCAGUCACCCUGGUCUGACCAUUACACCACCUGGUAGAUCCUUCUUCCCCUUUCCAGGGACCAGCACCCGUGUCAGGCCUCAUUAACACCCGCCAGCACUCUGUAGAGACUCAUUCCGUGACACCUCGUCACGUGAUCAACCACCAACCAACCACAUGCACAAACAACCCGAAACAUAUAUCGAAACAGGCCGGUGCCUUCAACUGCAAAUGAUUCAAAAUAAAGCGAGAUCAAGCUCCCGUCAAACAAACAGCAGAAACUAAGCAGAAACAUCAAG
rnacentral:lncRNA from 1 species